GUCAGUUCAGGGUUAGCACUGUGGAUUUUCUUCUUGACCAAGUCCUCAAGCAGAAGGCGUCGGAGUCUCCAGUAGAAGAAACACGUUAUCCCAGCUCACAGGGCAUUCAGAUCCGUG